UUCCUUAGCUCAGUUGGUGGAGCGCGAGACACUUAAUCUCAGGGUUGUGGGUUUGAGCCCCAUGCUGGGCAAAA